GCACCAAACAUCUUAGUUAGAUGUAAAAUACUGCACCAAACAUCUUAGUUAGGUGUAAAAUACUGCACCAAACAUCUUAGUUAGAUGUAAAAUACUGCACCAAACAUCUUAGUUAGGUGUAAAAUACUGCACCAAACAUCUUAGUUAGGUGUAAAAUACUGCACCAAACAUCUUAGUUAGGUGUAAAAUACUGCACCAAACAUCUUAGUUAGAUGUAAAAUACUGCACCAAACAUCUUAGUUAGGUGUAAAAUACUGCACCAAACAUCUUAGUUAGGUGUAAAAUACUGCACCAAACAUCUUAGUUAGGUGUAAAAUACUGCACCAAACAUCUUAGUUAGGUGUAAAAUACUGCACCAAACAUCUUAGUUAGGUGUAAAAUACUGCACCAAACAUCUUAGUUAGAUGUAAAAUACUGCACCAAACAUCUUAAUUAGAUGUAAAAUACUGCACCAAACAUCUUAGUUAGGUGUAAAAUACUGCACCAAACAUCUUAGUUAGAUGUAAAAUACUGCACCAAACAUCUUAGUUAGGUGUAAAAUACUGCACCAAACAUCUUAGUUAGAUGUAAAAUACUGCACCAAACAUCUUAGUUAGGUGUAAAAUACUGCACCAAACAUCUUAGUUAGGUGUAAAAUACUGCACCAAACAUCUUAGUUAGGUGUAAAAUACUGCACCAAACAUCUUAGUUAGGUGUAAAAUACUGCACCAAACAUCUUAGUUAGGUGUAAAAUACUGCACCAAACAUCUUAAUUAGAUGUAAAAUACUGCACCAAACAUCUUAGUUAGAUGUAAAAUACUGCACCAAACAUCUUAGUUAGAUGUAAAAUACUGCACCAAACAUCUUAGUUAGAUGUAAAAUACUGCACCAAACAUCUUAGUUAGAUGUAAAAUACUGCACCAAACAUCUUAGUUAGGUGUAAAAUACUGCACCAAACAUCUUAGUUAGAUGUAAAAUACUGCACCAAACAUCUUAGUUAGGUGUAAAAUACUGCACCAAACAUCUUAGUUAGAUGUAAAAUACUGCACCAAACAUCUUAGUUAGAUGUAAAAUACUGCA